UGAGCUGAGACAAGGCCUUCUGUCUGU
rnacentral:piRNA from 1 species